AAAGGUAAAAAGCUACUCGCGUCCUUUUAUCUCAAAAACGUAUAACACAUCACUAUUCUUUCUUUCUCUUUCGUUCUUUUUCUUGUUAGCGCUGCCGCUUUGUUCUCUGGUUUUUCUUCUCCUGCUUCUUUUACAGGAAAUUCAUGGUGGUCCGAUUGAGCGGCGCUGAAGGACUACUACAUCCUCCAUCACAUUUUCUAGAAUACACUGGACAGGCCGAAAGCAUAAGAAUUUCUAGGAGGAACUACAUUCUGCUGCAAUAUGAAGAUGGAUAAAUAGUCGAGCCCCAUUCCAUCACAGCAAGAUAAUGACUACUUUUCCCUAUCGUGAAAGUGUUUAAUUUGUUAGAAUUAUAGGAGAUGGAUUACAAGCAUAAAGGUCAAAGGAAAAGAAAUUGGCCUUAAAAAGAAGACUUACCAAAAGAAUAAACAUUAGAGAAUGAAUGCAACAUCACAAAGCGAAAUCAGAAGAUAAAAAAAAUGUGAAGCAGCAACUCAUUGAGAGAGAAACAAAGGAAGGAAAAUAAGACGUUUGAGCAACGACAGGCUGCCAAUAUUCUUUCAUUCUCGGGGUUUUUCUUUUCUCGAGCAACAUCUGCUGAAAUAGGGCUCUACUUGCUGGAUAUGUUUGCGACAAUGUUAGUUGUUGUUUGUUUGAAAAUUUGGGGCACAAUAGAGAAAAACUGUGUUGCUUUGUACCUUCCUUGCUUUCAUGAUUUUUUUCGUCCACCCUUAUUUGUUUGCCAUGUACUUAGUUUACUGGCUUUACAUGUUACCAUGAAUUAUGAAGAAAUGGAUAUUAGGUAACCUUAACUACCAGUUCAAAACGUAAUUAUGCUUGUUGCUACAUCUUAUUUGUUUCGUCCCGCAUAUGUUACUUGUUGUUUCCUUUCCCUCUCUAGGUCUCUAGGCCAUCCGAAAUAAAGAAAUUUGGACGUCGUUUGUAUAUGGUGAACGACAGCUGACCUCUCACUUAUACCAAAGUAAAGCUACUCAUCGCCAUUAAACUUACUAAAUAUGACUAGGUCUCUAAGCCGUCCUAACAAGGAGUGUUAACUAUAACAUUCACGAGGCUCAUACUAAUCUGCUGACGUGCCUUUGAUCCUGAACUUAAGUUUUCAUGAGCUUGUAAAAUCCACUCUAUUGUGGUUCGAUCACAGCCCUAAAAUCCAGUCUAUUUGUAUACUGAAUUUUAAUUUAGAAAUCCAGAUAAUGUCAUACAUGGCAGCUGACCAAAGUAAAGCUGCUCAGUAGCCACUGUACCAACACAACAGGCCCUUUUCUAAUAUUUUG